rnacentral:lncRNA from 1 species
UCGUGCUUUGCGGGGCUUGUCAUGGCUUUGCAAUGUUGGCACAGGCAACAACACAUGGCUGCGCAUCACGUGUUGGGGCUGGUGUUGGCUUUGUAUCGGUGAGGCAAGUGUACGUGCGGCACGUGAGUGGUGUUCGGCUUGUGUGGCUAGGUUGGAUCCCUGCUCGAUCAGCGACGUCCUAGCUCGCAUGCCAUCUCAGUCAUGUCACAAGCGCAAAUUAGGCUUGUUCUACGUCGGUUUUCUGUGUUGCAUACCUAAUGCCAAGGCAUUAUCAAGCACAAUCGGUCGCCUUUCGCCCCUCGCGUUCGAUGUGCGGGGUGAACCAAAAGCUGCAAUUGUGUCCCAGGUCGUCCUAGCUUCGCCUUGCGAUGGCUUAGUCCACGACUUAGCAUGCUCAGGCUCUCGGAUUCGGUAAACGCAAUGGGCACGGGGCCUUCAUUGGCUUCUAUCUGCCCA